AAGGCAGGGGGGUAUCCGCUCCCACGGCGGUUCCUGUCCUUCGUAAGGCCGCGCUGCCCGCGCGGUCACUGGUUGUCGCUCGGGGGGAUCGCCC
rnacentral:sRNA from 1 species